rnacentral:rRNA from 1 species
GACGAACGCUGGCGGCGUGCCUAAUACAUGCCAGUUGAGCGAUGAAGCUUGGUGCUUGCACCAAUUUGAAGAGCAGCGAACGGGUGAGUAACGCGUGGGGAAUCUGCCUUUGAGCGGGGGACAACAUUUGGAAACGAAUGCUAAUACCGCAUAACAACUUUAAACAUAAGUUUUAAGUUUGAAAGAUGCAAUUGCAUCACUCAAAGAUGAUCCCGCGUUGUAUUAGCUAGUUGGUGAGGUAAAGGCUCACCAAGGCGAUGAGACAUAGCCGACCUGAGAGGGUGAUCGGCCACAUUGGGACUGAGACACGGCCCAAACUCCUACGGGAGGCAGCAGUAGGGAAACUUCGGCAAUGGACGAAAGUCUGAACGAGCAACGCCGCGGGAGUGGAGAAGGUUUUCGGGUCGUAAAACUCUGUUGGUAGGGAAGAACGUUGGUGAGAGUGGAAAGCUCAUCAAGUGACGGUAACUACCCAGAAAGGGACGGCUAACUACGUG